rnacentral:sRNA from 12 species
AAGGGCCAGAUCAAGUAAGUCUGAAAAGUCCGAAAGGAGCGCCCUGGCAGGAAGGAGAAAGCAAGCGAGCGGAUACCCUGCGGGGUAUGGAGCUGAUUUUGCAUGAUGAUGCCAACGUGCGGACGCUGCUUGCAUGGCGGGCAGAUUGUGCCAAACUCCCGUUUCAUGCACGGAUGGCAAAGCGGAUAGACGGGCACGCUACAAAAAUGCCGUACAUCAUGCCAACCAUUGUCGCCCGAAUA